UACGUAGGGUGCAAGCGUUGUCCGGAAUUAUUGGGCGUAAAGAGCUCGUAGGCGGUCUGUCGCGUCGGCUGUGAAAACUCGGGGCUCAACUCCGAGCUUGCAGUCGAUACGGGCAGGCUAGAGUUCGGCAGGGGAGACUGGAAUUCCUGGUGUAGCGGUGAAAUGCGCAGAUAUCAGGAGGAACACCGGUGGCGAAGGCGGCAUCCUGGACCAACACUGACACUGAGGAGCGAAAGCCAGGGGAGCAAGCGGG
rnacentral:rRNA from 1 species